GAUGAACGCUGGCGGCGUGCUUAACACAUGCAAGUCGAACGGAAAGGCCCUGCUUUUGCGGGGUGCUCGUGUGGCGAACGGGUGAGUAACACGUGAGUAACCUGCCCUUGUCUUUGGGAGAACUUCAGGAAACUGGGGCUAAUACCGGAUAGGAUCUCCUGCUGCAUGGGGGGGGUUGGAAAGAUUCGGCGGUUGGGGAUGGUCUCGCUGCUUAUCAGCUAGAUGGUGGGGUAGUGGCUUACCACGGUUUUGACGGGUAGCCGGCCUGGGAGGGUGACCGGCCACAUUGGGACUGCGAUACGGACCAGACUGCUACGGGAGGCAGCAGUGGGGAAUAUUGCACAAUGGGCGGAAGCCUGAUGCGGCAGCGCCGCGUGCGGGAUGACGGCCUUCGGGUUGUAAACCGCUUUCGACUGUGACGAAGCGUGAGUGACGGUAAUGGGUAAAGAAGCACCGGCUAACUACGUG
rnacentral:rRNA from 1 species